CCUACGGGUGGCUGCAGUGGGGAAUAUUGCACAAUGGACGAACGUCUGAUGCAGCAACGCCGCGUGGAGGAUGACACAUUUCGGUGCGUAAACUCCUUUUAUAUGGGAAGAUAAUGACGGUACCAUAUGAAUAAGCACCGGCUAACUCCGUGCCAGCAGCCGCGGUAAUACGGAGGGUGCAAGCGUUACUCGGAAUCACUGGGCGUAAAGAGCGUGUAGGCGGAUAUAUAAGUCAGAAGUGAAAUCCAAUAGCUUAACUAUUGAACUGCUUUUGAAACUGUAUAUCUAGAAUGUGGGAGAGGUAGAUGGAAUUUCUGGUGUAGGGGUAAAAUCCGUAGAGAUCAGAAGGAAUACCGAUUGCGAAGGCGAUCUACUGGAACAUUAUUGACGCUGAGACGCGAAAGCGUGGGGAGCAAACAGGAUUAGAUACCCCGGUAGUC
rnacentral:rRNA from 1 species